GGUCAAGCUACAAAGGGCGCAUGGUGAAUGCCUUGGCAUCAGGAGCCGAUGAAGGACGUGAUAAGCUGCGAUAAGCUUCGGGUAGGCGCACAUAUCCAGAGAUCCGGAGAUUUCCGAAUGGGGAAACCCGCAUGAGAAACCUCAUGCAUCGUAAAGUGAAUACAUAGCUUUAUGAAGGAACACCUAGGGAACUGAAACAUCUAAGUACCUAGAGGAAGAGAAAGAAAAAUCGAUUUUCUUAGUAGCGGCGAGCGAAAAGGAAAGAGCCCAAACCAGAGAUUUAUCUCUGGGGUUGCGGACAGAACAUAACGUGAAAUUAUGAUUAACCGAACACAACUGGAAAGUUGGACCGUAGGAGGUAAUAGUCCUGUAAGUAAAAGUCAUAAUGAUCAGUUCUGCACCAGAGUACCACGAGACACGUGAAACCUUGUGGGAAGCAGGGAGGACCACCUCCCAAGGCUAAAUACUACCUGAUGACCGAUAGUGAAGCAGUACCGUGAGGGAAAGGUGAAAAGAACCCCGGGAGGGGAGUGAAAUAGAACCUGAAACCAUGUGCCUACAACCGAUCAAAGCACCUUAUGUGUGUGAUGAUGUGCUUUUUGUAGAACGAGCCAACGAGUUACGGUAUGUAGCGAGGUUAAGUACUUAAGGUACGGAGCCGAAGGGAAACCGAGUCUUAAUAGGGCGACUAGUUGCAUGCUGUAGACCCGAAACCGGGUGACCUAUCCAUGGCCAGGUUGAAGCGAGGGUAAAACCUCGUGGAGGACCGAACCACUUUGCUGUUGAAAAAGCAUGGGAUGAGCUGUGGAUAGCGGAGAAAUUCCAAUCGAACUCGGAUAUAGCUGGUUCUCCUCGAAAUAGCUUUAGGGCUAGCGUCGUGAAAUGUGAGUACUGGAGGUAGAGCACUGAAUAGGCUAGGGGGCAUAGCGCUUACCGAACCUUAUCAAACUCCGAAUGCCAGAUACUAUCAGCACGGCAGUCAGACUAUGAAAGAUAAGUUCCAUGGUCAAAAGGGAAACAGCCCAGAUCGUCAGCUAAGGUCCCAAAGUGUAAGUUAAGUGGAAAAGGAUGUGGGAUUUCUAAGACAACUAGGAUGUUGGCUUAGAAGCAGCCACUCAUUAAAAGAGUGCGUAAUAGCUCACUAGUCAAGAGAUCCUGCGCCGAAAAUGUCCGGGGCUCAAACUUACCACCGAAGCUACGGGUUCACACUUAUGUGUGAGCGGUAGAGGAGCGUCGUAAUCGGGCUGAAGUCGUACCGUAAGGAGCGGUGGACUGAUUACGAGUGAGAAUGUUGGCAUUAGUAGCGAGAUGUAGGUGAGAAUCCUACAGGCCGAAUAUCUAAGGUUUCCUGAGUAAAGUUUGUCUUCUCAGGGUUAGUCGGGACCUAAGGCGAGGCCGAGAGGCGUAGUCGAUGGACAAUUGGUUGAUAUUCCAAUACCACUAUAAUCGUUAUUAUCGAUGGUGUGACGGAGAAGGAUAGGAUGUGCCAGCUAUUGGAUGCUGGUCUAAGCGUUGAGGGAGUUAGAACAGGCAAAUCCGUUCUAACAAUCCUAGGGCGUGAUGGGGAAGGUUCUACGGAACCGAAGUAUCUGAUUUCAUGCUUCCAAGAAAAGCAUCUAGAAAGAGAAGUAGUGCCCGUACCGCAAACCGACACAGGUAGAUGAGGAGAGAAUCCUAAGGCCGACGGAAGAAUCACAGUUAAGGAACUAGGCAAAUUGACCCCGUAACUUCGGGAGAAGGGGUGCCUACCAAUUGGUAGGCCGCAGAGAAUAGGCACAAGCAACUGUUUAACAAAAACACAGGUCUCUGCUAAAGCGUAAGCUGAUGUAUAGGGGCUGACGCCUGCCCGGUGCUGGAAGGUUAAGGGGAACACUUAGCGCAAGCGAAGGUGUGAACUUAAGCCCCAGUAAACGGCGGCCGUAACUAUAACGGUCCUAAGGUAGCGAAAUUCCUUGUCAGGUAAGUUCUGACCCGCACGAAUGGCGUAAUGACUUGUGCACUGUCUCAACUGUGAAUCCGGCGAAGUUGUAGUGCGAGUGAAGAUGCUCGCUACCCGCGAUUGGACGGAAAGACCCCGUAGAGCUUUACUGUAGCUUAGCAUUGAAUUUCGGUAUUGUCUGUACAGGAUAGGUGGGAGACUGGGAAAUUAGGGCGUCAGCCUUAAUGGAGUCGUUGUUGGGAUACCACCCUGAUAGUAUUGAAGUUCUAACUGGAUGCCAUGAAACUGGUGACAGGACAUUGUUAGGUGGGCAGUUUGACUGGGGCGGUCGCCUCCUAAAAUGUAACGGAGGCGCCCAAAGGUUCCCUCAGAACGGUCGGAAAUCGUUCGUAGAGUGUAAAGGCAUAAGGGAGCCUGACUGCGAGACCUACAAGUCGAGCAGGGACGAAAGUCGGGCUUAGUGAUCCGGUGGUACCUCGUGGGAGGGCCAUCGCUCAACGGAUAAAAGCUACCUCGGGGAUAACAGGCUGAUCUCCCCCAAGAGUUCACAUCGACGGGGAGGUUUGGCACCUCGAUGUCGGCUCGUCGCAUCCUGGGGCUGAAGUAGGUCCCAAGGGUUGGGCUGUUCGCCCAUUAAAGCGGCACGCGAGCUGGGUUCAGAACGUCGUGAGACAGUUCGGUCCCUAUCCGUCGCGGGCGUAGGAAAUUUGAGAGGAGCUGUCCUUAGUACGAGAGGACCGGGAUGGACUGACCUAUGGUGUACCAGUUGUUUCGCCAGAAGCAUAGCUGGGUAGCUAAGUCGGGAAGGGAUAAACGCUGAAAGCAUCUAAGUGUGAAGCCCACCUCAAGAUGAGAUUUCCCAUAGCAUAAGCUAGUAAGACCCCUUGAAGACUACAAGGUUGAUAGGUCAGAGGUGUAAGUGCGGUAACGUAUUUAGCUGACUGAUACUAAUAGGUCGAGGGCUUGACCAA
rfam:Clostridium butyricum E4 str. BoNT E BL5262 CLP.Contig57, whole genome shotgun sequence.